rnacentral:lncRNA from 1 species
GAGUUGAAAUUUAAGUAGGCUUAUGAAUGAUCAAUGGUUAUGAAACUUUGGUGUAAACAUGGAAGCUAGGCCAUUUUGGGGUUACUUCACUAAGAAAUUUCCACAACUAAACAUAAAUCUCCACAACUAGGAGUAUUAACUAAUAGAGAUAACCAAAAUAUGAUAACUAAUAAAGCUCACAUUCACAUCCUUUAUGUAAAGAGAAACAUCAAACAAAACUUGGUUGG